GGGAUGUUUCAGAUCAUCAAAAUAUACAAUCAUGUGUGCUUGGCUUGUCCAUAAUUGCUUGAGCCAAGAAAUGGACCUCAACCACUAAUUAUCCUUAUAUCGAAUGCUUACACAGAUGCAUUGAGGUCGGAAAGCCUCGAGCUUGUGCAACCCAGCUCUCUUACAGUCCACACAGGCCUGGAUAGAAGGUGUGCAAUAUCCAAGCUUUCCAUCAGGUGGUUCCCCAUUUCUUAAUGCCACGGUCCAAAAAUCAGGCAAGUCCACUCCAUGUAAGGAUCACCAAAAGCAAGGGCUCCACACCCUUGGCUUUUUAUUUUUAUUUUUCUUACCAAUCUUCAUUACUUUAAUAUAACGAAGGGUUUCCAUAAUGUUUGACUUGUAUUAUGUAUUUAUCUUUGGUUGUAAGAUGCUUAUUCAAAGUGGAAGUAACUAUAUAGAGUGUAGGCUCAGGGGUCCACAAUGCUUACAUGGAUGCAUGAUCAAAGCUGCUCAUCAGUUUUAUCCUUGAAGAAAAAGGGAAGAAAAAUCUGUCCACAUAUAAAAAAAAUUCCAUAGCUAUUCUCCUCCAUCUGCUAGUUACAUGUGGAGCAUUUGAGGUGGAGCAUUGGUAAUAGAGGGAGGCUUUGCUGCUUCAUAUGGGGAUGGAUAUGGACUUCAUUCGGGUGAUGUUGACAAAGGUCCUCUAUAUGGCAUGAGUUCUGGUUCUUGGGGUGCAUUUGAGAAGUCUCACCUCGGGCGUCGCUGAAAUCCAUUGAUUUUUUUUUUUCCCUUCUGCUUUUCCUUGUGUCUCAAUCUGUAAAUUUUCUGUCUAUUAUGUAACUUUUCAUUCUCAGGCCCCCCUGUAAAUGAGGCUGGUUGUAAAUGAUUUACAGGUUGUGUUUGAAUGCUAAUUUAAGCCUGUAAAGGUCUUUUGAUUUAGAAGAUUUAACCUAGUAGAAUUUUUAAUUGUUU